rnacentral:rRNA from 1 species
UACCAGACUCCUACGGGAGGCAGCAGUGGGGAAUAUUGCACAAUGGGGGGAACCCUGAUGCAGCGACGCCGCGUGGGUGAAGGAGCACCUCGGUGCGUAAAGCCCUAUCGGCAGGGAAGAAAAGCGAACAGGUUCGCCUGGACGGUACCUGACUAAGAAGCCCCGGCUAACUACGGGCCCGCAGCCGCGGGAAUACGUAGGGGGCAAGCGUUAUCCGGAGUCACUGGGUGGAAAGGGAGCGUAGACGGCGACGCAAGGCUGGAGUGAAAGCCCGGGGCCCAACCCCGGGACUGCUCUUGGAACUGCGUGGCUGGAGUGCAGGAGGGGCAGGCGGAAUUCCUGGUGUAGCGGUGAAAUGCGUAGAUAUCAGGAGGAACACCGGUGGCGAAGGCGGCCUGCUGGACUGCAACUGACGUUGAGGCCCGAAAGCGUGGGGAGCAAACAGGAUUAGAUACCCGGGUA